rnacentral:tRNA from 3 species
GGGUCCGUAGCGUAGCCAGGAUAUCGCGGUGGUCUUCGGAACCACAGAUCGAGGGAUCGAAGCCCUCCGGGCCCA